rnacentral:rRNA from 1 species
GACGAACGCUGGCGGCGUGCUUAACACAUGCAAGUCGAACGAGUGGCGCACGGGUGAGUAAUACGUGGGUAACCUGCCCUCCUUUUUGGGAUAAGCCUUGGAAACGGGGUCUAAUACCGAAUAAAGGGGGAUGGGCUCGCGGCCUAUCAGCUUGUUGGGGGGGUAAUGGCUACCAAGGCGCGACGGGUAGCCGGCCUGAGAGGGUGUACGGCCACAAUGGGACUGGGAGACGGCCCAGAGGGCUACGGGAGGCAGCAGAGGGGAAUAUUGCACAAUGGGCGGAAGCCUGAUGCAGCGACGGCGGGUGGGGGAUGAAGGCCUUCGGGUUGUAAACACCUUUCGACAGGGACGCGGUACCUGUAUAAGAAGCACCGGCUAACUACGUGCCAGCAGCCGCGGUAAUAC